rnacentral:pre_miRNA from 1 species
UUUAACACCGUUGACUUUUUAUCACAUGUUUGACCGUUCGUCUUAUUCAAAAAAUUUAAGUAAUUAUUAAUUCUUUUCCUAUCAUUUGAUUCAUUGUUAAAUAUAUUUUUAUGUAGGCAUAUAAUUUUACAUAUCUCACAAAAGUUUUUAAAUAAGACGAACGAUCAAACAUGUGCUAAAAAAUCAACGGUGUCAAACAUU